AGCAGCCGCGGUAAUUCCAGCUCCAAUAGCGUAUAUUAAAGUUGUUGCAGUUAAAAAGCUCGUAGUUGAAUUUCGGGAUCAAUUAAUUGGUCGUGCCUCUGGUACGUACUGAUUUUAUUGGUUUCUCCCUUCUGACGAACCAUGAUGUCAUUAAUUUGAUGUCGUGGAGAAUCAGGACUGUUACUUUGAAAAAUUAGAGUGUUUAAAGCAAGCUAACGCUUGAAUACAUUAGCAUGGAAUAAUGAAAUAGGACGUUUGAUCCUAUUUUGUUGGUUUCUAGGAUCGACGUAAUGAUUAAUAGGGAUAGUUGGGGGCAUUAGUAUUCAAUUGUCAGAGGUGAAAUUCUUGGAUUUAUUGAAGACUAACUACUGCGAAAGCAUUUGCCAAGGAUGUUUUCAUUAAUCAAGAACGAAAGUUAGGGGAUCGAAGACGAUCAGAUACCGUCGUAGUCUUAACCAUAAACUAUGCCGACUAGGGAUCGGAUGAUGUUAAUUUUAAUGA
rnacentral:misc_RNA from 1 species